AUUGAACGCUGGCGGCAGGCUUAACACAUGCAAGUCGAGCGGGGUGAUGGUGCUUGCACUAUCACUUAGCGGCGGACGGGUGAGUAAUGCUUAGGAAUCUGCCUAUUAGUGGGGGACAACAUCUCGAAAGGGAUGCUAAUACUGCAUACGUCCUACGGGAGAAAGCAGGGGAUCACUUGUGACCUUGCGCUAAUAGAUGAGCCUAAGUCGGAUUAGCUAGUUGGUGGGGUAAAGGCCUACCAAGGCGACGAUCUGUAGCGGGUCUGAGAGGAUGAUCCGCCACACUGGGACUGAGACACGGCCCAGACUCCUACGGGAGGCAGCAGUGGGGAAUAUUGGACAAUGGGGGGAACCCUGAUCCUGCCAUGCCGCGUGUGUGAAGAAGGCCUUAUGGUUGUAAAGCACUUUAAGCGAGGAGGAGGCUCUUUUGGUUAAUACCCAAGAUGAGUGGACGUUACUCGCAGAAUAAGCACCGGCUAACUCUGUGCCAGCAGCCGCCGUAA
rnacentral:rRNA from 1 species